AGAAAAUAGAUACCCAGGUAGUCCACGCCCUAAACGAUGCAUAUUUGGUGUGGGUGAUUCAGUUCAUCCGUGCCGGAGCUAACGCGUUAAAUAUGCCGCCUGGGGAGUACAGUCGCAAGGCUGAAACUCAAAGGAAUUGACGGGGGCCCGCACAAGCGGUGGAGCAUGUGGUUCAAUUCGACGCAACGCGAAGAACCUUACCUGGGCUCGAACGGCCGGUCAACGGCAGUGGAAACACUGUUAUCCCGCAAGGGAGUCCGGUCGAGGUGCUGCAUGGCUGUCGUCAGCUCGUGUCGUGAGAUGUUGGGUUAAGUCCCGCAACGAGCGCAACCCUCGUCCUGUGUUGCCAUGGGAGCAAUCCCGGAACUCGCAGGAGACCGCCAGCGAUAAGUUGGAGGAAGGUGGGGAUGACGUCAAGUCCUCAUGGCCUUUAUGUCCAGGGCUACACACGUGCUACAAUGGCCGGUACAAAGCGCUGCAAACCCGCGAGGGGGAGCCAAUCGCAAAAAACCGG
rnacentral:rRNA from 1 species